CUUUGUUAUCAUCACUUUUUAUAAAUUCUAUUUGUCUGUUAAAAUAAUUUAAAGGUCUUUCGGUUAUAGGUAUGUGGUGUUGACUAUCUUCUUGAGCGCUAUGUGUAGUUGCUCCUGUGCUAACUGCAUCAUCUCCUAAGAAAUUCUCUUCUAUUUUUAUACGUGAAUGUGCAUCUGCUACAUUAUUCUCUUUUCCUGGUAAAUACUGGAUUUGAUAAUCAUACUCAUUUAAUCGGAUUUUCCAUCUUUGCAAUUUCAUAUUUGGUUCUUUAAUAUUACUGAGCCAAACUAAUGGUUUAUGAUCACUUAGGAUUUGGAAUUUUCUACCGAAUAGCUGAAUAGUUUGAUUCGUGUUCGUUUAAAGUUGGACUUGCAUAUCAAAUGGGUUUGUGUUCCUGUGACAGAACGGCGCCUAUAGCGAAGUUGCUAGCAUCUGUAGUCAAUGAGAAUGGCUUCUCGAAAUUUCGAUAAACUAGUAUCGGAUCGGACGUUAUUAAAACUUUGAAUUUUUCGGAUGCAGAUACAUAA